rnacentral:tRNA from 1 species
GCCGGAAUAGCUCAGUUGGUACAGCAGAGGACUGAAAA